GAAAAUAUUUUCCCCCUCCCCAGCAGCCAUGUAAAAAGAUAGCAGUAAAUUAGUAACCCACAAACUACAACAAUCCCAACGUACAGAAAAAUAUGUAUCUGGAGUACAGACUCCCAGCUGCGGUCCAUCGACCUCUUUGUGCUAGUCUCUAGAGAGCUGGCUGAUCACAUAAUGCUGGUUCGUACUCAUUACCAUCUAUUAAAUUUCAGUAAUACAGCUAAGAAUGAAAUUCUCUCUUGGGUAUUAUUUUUCCAUGUAAGCAAUUGCUACAGAGAUGUGAUGUGACUGCGGAUGGGAGGAAAUGGCCAAUGCUAUUGGGAACGGAAAAGGGGUUGUAGUCCAUGAGACAUACUCUCUUUUAUUAUGUGGACCACACAGUGAAAAUGUUUAAGAACUGCCUGAUCCAAAAGUCUAUUUACAACAUUAAAAUCAAAUAGAAGCUGUCAUCUAGUUGCUAUUUUAAGGAGUGAGGCUUCAUUAACAGAAAAAUUGCAAGGACAUACAUAAAUUCUCUUUCCAGUGAUUUUAUUUGUAUCAGCUUUCUGAGGGCACAAAAAUGUGAAUUAAUUAAAUUCUCCAAGCAGUCAAGAAACCAGGAAUGCUUCAUUAGAAGUAUGUUCCCAGCUACUGGUUAGAGUGCCUGGUUAUUUGAGCAAGGACACAGCAGCAUAAGUAAAAUACCACAGCUUCUUGUAAAAUGAAAAGUCAACGUGAUACUUCAAGCUGGAUCAAGUACUUUGGCACAGGAACCAAACUAGUUGUUUCAGACACAGAAGCAAAACUCGAUCCCAGCAAGAUCCAGGUCCUGCCUCCUUCUACUGAAAAAGAUGGGAAAGUAACACACAUAUGCCUCAUUGAGGAUUUUUACCCAAAUGUUAUUAAGGUGACUUGGGAAGACGACAAGAAGAAUGCAGAGGAAAAUGCAGUGCAUGGGGAAAUUUGGCCUCCUGAUAACUAUCAACCUUCAUACUCAAUAAGCAGCUGGCUGACCGUAGAUAAAAAUAGCAAUAAGAAUUAUCGCUGCAAAUAUCAACAUGAAAAAAAAGAAGGUUUUGUCUCUAUCGAAUCUCCAGACACCUCCAUAGUGCCUCAAACCACAGCAGGUUGUACCAACAGACUUUUCACAGUGAGUUUAAUGCACAGGACGGCGUAUUUAAUAUACAUUGCCCUUCUCCUGAAAAGCACCAUAUACUACGUCAUCGUACUCUUCUUCAUGUACAGAAUGCAAAGUCCAAUCAAGCGAGAGGGAAAGAAACCUUAAACUUCUUACACCUUCCAAUGUCAGCAUUUGUGUCUGAAAUUUACUUUGCUUUGCCAUAAGCCUGUUCAUAUGAAACACCUUGCUCUAAAUAUUAAGACAUGCAUUUCAAUUUGAUUUUGUUGGUUAUUUCUCUGCACAGAUGGCUUCUUCUGCUUGAGAGCGCACAGUUUUACAUGUGUUCAUUUUUUCUAUUUUAUUAUUUUAAUUUUGUAACUGUGGAACUUCAAGGGCUCCUUGAUUUCAAUGGGAAUUUUGCAUCACAAAGCAGUGCAGGAUCAGUUUCUUAGGUUCUUAUCCUGCAAAAACACUUGUGCACACAAAGAACUUUUGGAUAUGGAUAGGCCAACUGCAUUCAGCAAAGCCAAUGGGAAGACUCGUCCCAUAAAUAUUUGCAGGGCUAGAGUCCUAAUCUGUAAUUUAAAAUGAUUUGUCAUUUCAUUUCUAUUAAUUCCAUUUAUUUCCUUUAUAAAA